rnacentral:rRNA from 1 species
CAGCAGCCGCGGUAAAACGAAGGGGGCUAGCGUUGCUCGGAAUGACUGGGCGUAAAGGGCGCGUAGGCGGCGGCCAAAGUCAGGCGUGAAAUUCCUGGGCUCAACCUUGGGGCUGCGCUUGAUACUUGGUUGCUUGAGUGGGGAAGAGGGUCGUGGAAUUCCCAGUGUAGAGGUGAAGUUCGUAGAUAUUGGGAAGAACACCGGUGGCGAAGGCGGCGACCUGGUCCUUGACUGACGCUGAGGCGCGAAAGCGUGGGGAGCAAACAGGAUUAGAUACCCGCGUAGUCCCUGUCUCUUAUAC